rnacentral:rRNA from 1 species
AACUUUCAACAACGGAUCUCUUGGUUCUGGCAUCGAUGAAGAACGCAGCGAAAUGCGAUAAGUAAUGUGAAUUGCAGAAUUCAGUGAAUCAUCGAAUCUUUGAACGCACAUUGCGCCCUGUGGUAUUCCGCAGGGCAUGCCUGUUCGAGCGUC